rnacentral:rRNA from 1 species
GCAGCCGCGGUAAUACGUAGGGAGCAAGCGUUGUCCGGAUUUACUGGGUGUAAAGGGUGCGUAGGCGGCUUUGCAAGUCAGAUGUGAAAUCUAUGGGCUCAACCCAUAAACUGCAUUUGAAACUGUAGAGCUUGAGUGAAGUAGAGGCAGGCGGAAUUCCCCGUGUAGCGGUGAAAUGCGUAGAGAUGGGGAGGAACACCAGUGGCGAAGGCGGCCUGCUGGGCUUUAACUGACGCUGAGGCACGAAAGCGUGGGUAGCAAACAGGAUUAGAUACCCC